UGAGUGGGUGCGGCUGAGUUCAGCAU
rnacentral:piRNA from 1 species